AUUGAACGCUGGCGGCGUGCCUUAUACAUGCAAGUCGAACGGUAACAGGCCGCAAUGUGUCGACGGGUGGUGAACGGGUGAGUAAGGCAUCCGAACGUGCCCAGUCGGGGGGGAUAACUACUCGAUUGGGUAGCUAAUACCACAUACCAUCUAAGGAUUUGAGCGGGGGACUUUAAUGCAUCGCGCCAUUUGAGCGGCCAAUGUUAGAUUAGGCAGUUGGUGAGGUAAAGGCUGACCAAGCCAACGAUCCGUAGCUGGCCUGAGAGGAGGACCGGCCACACUGGAACUGAGACACGGCCCAGACUCCUACGGGAGGCAGCAGUGGGGAAUUUUGGACAAUGGGCGAAAGCCUGACGCAGCAAUGCCGCGUGCAGGAAGAAGGCCUUCGGGUUGUAAACUGCUUUUGUACGGAACGAAAAGGCUCGGGUUAAAACCCGCACCUAGUGACGGUACCGUAACAGAAAGCAACGGCUAACUACGUG
rnacentral:rRNA from 1 species